rnacentral:ribozyme from 14 species
GAAAGAAGGAAAGAAGGGGGAAAAAAGGAAAGAAAGAGGAGUGUUCAAAGUGGAAGAAGAGCUCCAAGGUCAGCUGAAUCCUAAGUCGACGACGGCUUCUCUUCGUUCUUUUUUUCCACCUUUUUUCCCCCUACUCUGC